GCCUGGGUGGCUCAGUCGGUUAAGCAUCCGACUUCGGCUCAGGUCACGAUCUCGCGGUAUGUGGGUUCAAGCCCCGCAUCGGGCU
rfam:Felis catus isolate Cinnamon breed Abyssinian chromosome D4, whole genome shotgun sequence.